GGUUAAGCGACUAAGCGUACACGGUGGAUGCCCUGGCAGUCAGAGGCGAUGAAGGACGUGCUAAUCUGCGAUAAGCGUCGGUGAGGUGAUAUGAACCGUUAUAACCGGCGAUUUCCGAAUGGGGAAACCCAGUGUGUUUCGACACACUAUCAUUAACUGAAUCCAUAGGUUAAUGAGGCGAACCGGGGGAACUGAAACAUCUAAGUACCCCGAGGAAAAGAAAUCAACCGAGAUUCCCCCAGUAGCGGCGAGCGAACGGGGAGGAGCCCAGAGCCUGAAUCAGUGUGUGUGUUAGUGGAAGCGUCUGGAAAGGCGCGCGAUACAGGGUGACAGCCCCGUACACAAAAAUGCACA
rnacentral:rRNA from 1 species